rnacentral:rRNA from 1 species
GACGAACGCUGGCGGCGUGCUUAACACAUGCAAGUCGAACGGAAAGGCCCUGCUUUUGUUGGGUGCUCGAGUGGCGAACGGGUGAGUUACACGUGAGUAACCUGCCCUUGACUUUGGGAUAACUUCAGGAAACUGGGGCUAUUACCGGAUAGGAGCUCCUGCUGCUUGGUGGGGGUUGGAAAGUUUCGGCGGUUGGGGAUGGACUCGCGGCUUAUCAGCUUGUUGGUGGGGUAGUGGCUUACCAAGGCUUUGACGGGUAGCCGGCCUGAGAGGGUGACCGGCCACAUUGGGACUGAGAUACGGCCCAGACUCCUACGGGAGGCAGCAGUGGGGAAUAUUGCACAAUGGGCGGAAGCCUGAUGCAGCAACGCAGCGUGCGGGAUGACGGCCUUCGGGUUGUAAACCGCUGUCGCCUGUGACGAAGCGUGAGUGACGGUAAUGGGUAAAGAAGCACCGGCUAACUACGUG